GAUGAACGCUGGCGGCGUGCUUAACACAUGCAAGUCGAACGGGAAAUCUUUCAUUGAGACUUCGGUGGAUUUGAUUUAUUUCUAGUGGCGGACGGGUGAGUAACGCGUGGGUAACCUGCCUUAUACAGGGGGAUAACAGUCAAAAAUGGCUGCUAAUACCGCAUAAGCGCACAGAGCUGCAUGGCUCAGUGUGAAAAACUCCGGUGGUAUAAGAUGGACCCGCGUUGGAUUAGCUAGUUGGUGGGGUAACGGCCCACCAAGGCGACGAUCCAUAGCCGGCAUGAGAGGGUGAACGGCCACAUUGGGACUGAGACACGGCCCAGACUCCUACGGGAGGCAGCAGUGGGGAAUAUUGCACAAUGGGGGAAACCCUGAUGCAGCGACGCCGCGUGAAGGAAGAAGUAUCUCGGUAUGUAAACUUCUAUCAGCAGGGAAGAUAGUGACGGUACCUGACGAAGAAGCCCCGGCUAACUACGUG
rnacentral:rRNA from 1 species